AGCGUAGACGGAUGGACAAGUCUGAUGUGAAAGGCUGGGGCUCAACCCUGGGACUGCAUUGGAAACUGCCCGUCUUGAGUGCCGGAGAGGUAAGCGGAAUUCCUAGUGUAGCGGUGAAAUGCGUAGAUAUUAGGAGGAACACCAGUGGCGAAGGCGGCUUACUGGACGGUAACUGACGUUGAGGCUCGAAAGCGUGGGGAGCAAACA
rnacentral:rRNA from 1 species